UGCAGUCGAGCGGAGAGAGGUAGCUUGCUACUGAUCUUAGCGGCGGACGGGUGAGUAAUGCUUAGGAAUCUGCCUAUUAGUGGGGGACAACAUUUCGAAAGGAAUGCUAAUACCGCAUACGUCCUACGGGAGAAAGCAGGGGAUCUUCGGACCUUGCGCUAAUAGAUGAGCCUAAGUCGGAUUAGCUAGUUGGUGGGGUAAAGGCCUACCAAGGCGACGAUCUGUAGCGGGUCUGAGAGGAUGAUCCGCCACACUGGGACUGAGACACGGCCCAGACUCCUACGGGAGGCAGCAGUGGGGAAUAUUGGACAAUGGGCGCAAGCCUGAUCCAGCCAUGCCGCGUGUGUGAAGAAGGCCUUAUGGUUGUAAAGCACUUUAAGCGAGGAGGAGGCUACUUUAGUUAAUACCUAGAGAUAGUGGACGUUACUCGCAGAAUAAGCACCGGCUAACUCUGUGCCAGCAGCCGCGGUAAUACAGAGGGUGCAAGCGUUAAUCGGAUUUACUGGGCGUAAAGCGCGCGUAGGCGGCUAAUUAAGUCAAAUGUGAAAUCCCCGAGCUUAACUUGGGAAUUGCAUUCGAUACUGGUUAGCUAGAGUGUGGGAGAGGAUGGUAGAAUUCCAGGUGUAGCGGUGAAAUGCGUAGAGAUCUGGAGGAAUACCGAUGGCGAAGGCAGCCAUCUGGCCUAACACUGACGCUGAGGUGCGAAAGCAUGGGGAGCAAACAGGAUUAGAUACCCUGGUAGUCCAUGCCGUAAACGAUGUCUACUAGCCGUUGGGGCCUUUGAGCUUUAGUGGCGCAGCUAACGCGAUAAGUAGACCGCCUGGGGAGUACGGUCGCAGACUAAACUCAAUGAUUGACGGGGCCCGCACAGCGGUGGAGCAUGUGGUUUAAUUCGAUGCAACGCGAAGAACCU
rnacentral:rRNA from 1 species